rnacentral:misc_RNA from 1 species
UCCUUAACACAGGGAAAACGAACGCGUGUAGCAAUACACGAGUGGCGCACGGGUUUUUCCACGUGGAUAUCUGCCUUUUGGUUCGGAAUAACCCUGGGAAACUAGGGCUAAUACCGAAUGGUUCCUACGGGAUAAAGAUUUAUCGCCAAAAGAUGAGUCCGCGUCCGAUUAGCUAGUUGGUGAGGUAAUGGCUCACCAAGGCGACGAUCGGUAGCUGGUCUGAGAGGACGAUCAGCCACACUGGGACUGAGACACGGUCCAGACUCCUACGGGAGGCAGCAGUGGG